GAGCCGGGCCCGCGGGGAUGGAGCCGGGAUUGCGGCAUACGCGUGUCCUGGGCCAGCGCAGCACAGCCACACUGACAGGCGCGGGGCAGCACUUUGCCUGAAGAGGCAGCUAAUAAUACAUACUACAGAAUCCCAGGGUGGGUCUGGGUGGAAGGGACUGCAGUGCGUCAUCUGGCGGAACCUCCCUGCUCAAGCAGGCCCAUCCCAGAGCGCAUUGCGCAGGAGUGCAUCCCGAGGGAUCUUGAAUAUUUCCAGUCAGGGGGACUCCACAGCCUCUCUGGACUAUCUGCUCCAGUGUUCAGUCAUCUGCACAGUAAUGAAGCUUUUCUUCAUGUUCAGGUGGAACUUCUGGGAAUUAGUUUCUGCCCCUUGCCUCCUUUCCUAUUGCUUGGCACCACUGAGCACAACCAAGCUCCAUCCUCCGGGCACCCUCACUUGAGAUAUUUACAGCAAAAUAUUAAACAGCUUAGUUUACAAAGGAAGGAAUGUAAUAAUGAUUCAGUCAAAAGAUGUGGAUGCCAUGGGACAGGGAGAGAGAAAUAGCAAGCGUUUCUCACAGCGGCUUUUGAGAGAUUUUAGGGUGUUGGAAAGAUGUGAUAACCUGUUGACUAUAAACAACUUGCAGGUGCUGUUUCUCUACCUUGUUUUUCCGUUCCUCUCAAGGACAGUGCGUGAGAAAGAUGUUUCUGUUAGUUAGCCAAUAGAAUAGAAUCUAUCGUACCACUCUAUAAAAACCGUGUGGUUCGUUUGAAUAAAGCGCUUCUUCGCCUUUGCUACGAUCCUGCCUCUCGUCUGUUCCUGCCCUGACCCCAGCACACGAGCAACAAAAAGACAUCCCCGAAAAGGACAUUAUAAUUGUUUUCUCACUUAUACGUCCAGUAACACAAAAAUCCUUACCAAGUACAAAAAUACAUCGGAGGGAAUGCCAGUCUUCUAUCUCACUGUCACACAAACAAAAUGAAAAUCACAACCUUGAAGAGCCCAACUACUCUAAGAAGAUCUGAAGUAUGUCUAUCUGAAGAAAGGGACUUCCAUCAGCUUGGCAUAAGCUGUACAGGAAAUAAGCCACAGAAACUUGAAAACAGCUUUUAGUUGACAUUGCAUUCCAAGUGCUAUGAAAAUAUAAUUGCACUAAUAGAGAUUUUCUGUAAAGAUAAGCUUUCAAACAUAUCAUUGAACAUUUUAGAUAUCUGGACUUCUGUGUGAAGGGCCUGAAGAACUGAAUCUGGGUAUCUACGCCUACAGGUUAGUGACGAAUCUGCCUAGGAGGGCCAUCCAACAAUGGUGAUCAAUGGAAAGCCCACCUUGGAUGUUUUUGGAAUCAUCAGUCUGAAUUUUCUCGAAAGCAUAAUGAUAGUAGGGCUGUAUAUCCCAGCAAGUGCUUAUUUAGCCUAAGAAUAUAUUUAGUUGAAUUUAAUCCCUGUUAUCAGCAUGGUAUUUUUAUAUGACCAAGUCAUACACAGACCUAAACAGGUCAGACUUCUCAGCCGCUGUUUGAAGUGCAUGACGCAUUCUGGACGGAAGAAGCUGUCAAGGAGUGUAAUGAGGGCAGUUUUGAAGGAAAUAUCACUUAAUUGUGGCUGAUGCUGCUGAAUUAGUCAUACAUCCUUACUGCCAGGAGACACCAUCAUGGAGCUUUAGCUCUUCUAUCUCAGGACAGCAUGUUUUACAACAUGAAUUUAGAUAAACAGCUGCAGUAAUGAAAUAAUUCAAAUUCUGCUCCCUACUCAUAAAUGUGCAAUAGCCAUUCCAAACAACACAGCACAAAAUGGAUUUUUUUUUUCCCCUGGGAGCAAAAUAUGUCUCAAAACACAAAAUGUUAAAUUUUGGAUUGUACAAAACUGGUGUCACUAACAGCAUAGAAUAGCUAUCAAUUAAUUAGAUGAAAGCUUGUAAGUACAGACAAAUCUUUUAUGAACACGUAUCUCUUGAAGAGGUCUCUUCUGAGUUGGUGUGCUAGUGAAAAAUUGAUUCUAGAAUGUUAAAUUAAAAAUCACUGCAGAAGCAUUUUAAGCACAAAUUCAUAAUAAAUUUCACAUAGAUUUCA